GGACUGCCCAGUACUAGAGAAGCGUCAUGCUUCAUUUCAAGGUGUGAGAAGAACUUCAGGUAAUACCAGCAAUGCUGCAGCAGUAGAGUCAACUGUUGCUGUCUCAUCAUUCACUGCACCUCCAGCCCCAUCGGUAGGCCUAGUUGUUGAUCAGACACAGCCUUCAACAUCAAUUCAAGUCAGGUUAGCAGAUGGCACACGG
rnacentral:misc_RNA from 1 species